UGCCAGGUGAUAUCCAUGAAUCUUAAAUUUGAGAACCACUGAUCUCCAGGAUAAAGGUCAAAUCCUUUAGUAUGGGACCUGACUACUGUCCUUGCCUGGAUCCUAUUUUGCUGAAUCACCUGUAGUUUGCGUUCAUCCCAACACCCCAUGUUCCAACAGUCCCAAAUUUGCCUUUCCACAUGUUGCCCCUCCACCUAGACUAUCCUUAGCAAAUAAAGUCUUGAAUCCAUAAGCUUCUAAUCAGGACUGAUACUAGAAGAGCAUAUAGGAAAACUAUGGUCAAGAAAUCAGUCACUUCUUUCCAUUCCAAAUGUCCUUCACGAAACCCUCUUAAACAUGAUGAUGAAGGUAUCAGAAGGGUGAAGUCCAUGAGACAAAGGAAUGGGACACGUGAUGAAAGAUGACAGCAAAAUGUUUGAAGCUGGGAAACAGAUUCAAUCUGUCUUAGGAACUACGUCUGUGUUUGUGGAGAAGUGAAUUGGUGGGGAGCCAAGAAACAAGCCGAUUCGGGACUUAGAGGCACACUGUGUUUCAAGAAUAUGUAGGUGGGACCAAUGGGCAGAUCGGUUGGAAUUUUGCAUUUGAAGCAAUUGGAGUCCUAACUACCCUCAUUAUCACACACAACAGCGUCCCUACCCACCCAGUUUCAGGCAGAUGGCCUAAGAUGUACUCUCUUAAACCAGAGGGAGCUUGGGCACAAAAAUUAGAGGAAGGGAGCUGUCAUGAGCACAAAGGACUAAGUGAAUGUUUCCAUCCUGACAUGUGAGAACACUAAACUUUAAGCCUUUUGGCCCCGGCCCAGCAGCCAUGCUUGCCCUCCUCAAGGAGAGCAUUAUAGAUUUCUCUCUGAGGAAACCAAUCUACCGAAGUGAAAAGACCUACAAUAACCACUUCAUGACUUCCUAAGGAGUUCACUGCCCAAUAUUCUCAUGACUGCUGAGCUCCUUUGUAUUUCACUUUUAAACACAAACAGACAGGGGCGCCUGGGUGGCUCAGUUGGUUAAGCGUCCCACUUCGGCUCAGGUCAUGAUCUCACGGUCUGUCAGUUCGAGCCCCGCAUCGGGCUCUGUGCUGACAGCUCAGAGCCUGG